rnacentral:rRNA from 1 species
UGAGGAAUAUUGGUCAAUGGACGCAAGUCUGAACCAGCCAAGUAGCGUGCAGGAUGACGGCCCUAUGGGUUGUAAACUGCUUUUAUAUGGGGAUAAAGUGGGGAACGUGUUCCCUUUUGCAGGUACCAUAUGAAUAAGGACCGGCUAAUUCCGUGCCAGCAGCCGCGGUAAUACGGAAGGUCCAGGCGUUAUCCGGAUUUAUUGGGUUUAAAGGGAGCGUAGGCUGUCUAUUAAGCGUGUUGUGAAAUUUACCGGCUCAACCGGUGGCUUGCAGCGCGAACUGGUCGACUUGAGUAUGCAGGAAGUAGGCGGAAUUCAUGGUGUAGCGGUGAAAUGCUUAGAUAUCAUGACGAACUCCGAUUGCGCAGGCAGCUUACUGUAGCAUAACUGACGCUGAUGCUCGAAAGUGCGGGUAUCAAACAGG